rnacentral:rRNA from 1 species
GACGAACGCUGGCGGUGUGCUUAACACAUGCAAGUCGAACGGUAAGGCCCUUUCUGGGGUACACGAGUGGCGAACGGGUGAGUAACACGUGAGUAACCUGCCCUCAUCUCUGGGAUAACAGUCGGAAACGGUUGCUAAUACUGGAUAUGAGCUUGCAAGGCAUCUUGUGGGUUGGAAAGAUUUUUUUUGGUUGGGGAUGGACUCGCGGCCUAUCAUCUUGUUGGUGAGGUAGUGGCUCACCAAGGCUUCGACGGGUAGCCGGCCUGAGAGGGCGACAGGCCACAUUGGGAGUGAGAUACGGCCCAAACUCCUACGGGAGGCAGCAGUGGGGAAUAUUGCACAAUGGACGGAAGUCUGAUGCAGCAACGCCGCGUGCGGGAUGACGGCCUUCGGGUUGUAAACCGCUUUCAAUUGUGACGAAGCUUUUUUGUGACGGUAGCAGUAGAAGAAGCACCGGCUAACUACGUG